CAAGGCUGGUACAUGCUCUUCCUUUGGAUGUAAACUCCUCGUGGGAAGGCUUGUGGGAUCAGGGACAGUGUGCAGUGCCUGGCAGGUGGGGUUUUACAUCUGGCAGGUUUCACCCCCAGCCUGAGGGCUGUGCACCAGGGGCCUCAGGGAGCAGAGAACACGGACGGGGUGGUGACCCCCAGCCCCCUCUAGGGAAGGACCAGCCUGCACUCCCACUCCCCAAAGGCCAAGGAGGGAGCCUGCUGUGCACAAACAGCUGCUGUUGCUGAGGAUAUCAAAACUCCUACCAGAAGAGCCUCGUUAAAGUAUAAACCUAAACUUUGUCCUCUGCGGUGCAGGUCAAAGUACCCAAUAACUAUCUGAGGCCUCAGCAAUCUUCCUCCUUGUGAGUUUUUCAUGGAGCUGCAUCCAGAUUUCUUUACUCUCCAGCUGACAGAUUUGA